UGAGCUCAGAAAGGAAGUUAUUGCUCAGGUCAAACAGUGAAGUGCGCAAAUCCCGUGUCCCCGACUGAGUGGCUGAGAAGUCCUGUGUGCCAUCAUACCGCACCCCUGCGCCCGCCCCAGGCCCCAUCUUCUCCCUGUGACCUUGGAUCAGCUAUCUAACUCCUCUGAGCCUCAUUUUGCCCUCGUGUAGAAGGGACCACGACUGGACCAGCCAAUCCUAGAUGACAGUACCUUGCAGUGGAUGCCGCCUUCCACGGGAGCGGCAUUGUGAUGGAGGAACAGACGCUGUGCAGACAGACCUGGGUUCGAACCCCAGCUCUGCCCCUCACCCACUGCAGACCCCAUGGCCAGUCACUCUGCCUGUCCCUCAAUGGAGACCAGAAUCUCUUCUCUGUACUUUAGUAGAAAGUGCCCAUUGAGCACCUUCUUUA